AACGCGAAGAACCUUACCAGGGAUUGACAUGACCGUAGUAGUGAAGCGAAAGCGGAACGACCCUUCGGGGAGCGGCCACAGGUGAUGCAUGGCUGUCGUCAGCUCGUGCCGUGAGGUGUUUGGUUAAGUCCACUAACGAGCGCAACCCCUAGCGCCAGUUACACGUGUCUGGCGCGACUGCCGGUAUUAAGCCGGAGGAAGGUGGGGAUGACGUCAAGUCAGCAUGUCCUUUAUACCCUGGGCGACACACACGCUACAAUGGCCAGUACAAUGGGUUGCCAAGCCGCGAGGCGGAGCCAAUCCUCAAAAGCUGGUCUCAGUUCGGAUUGCAGGCUGCAACCCGCCUGCAUGAAGUCGGAGUUGCUAGUAACCGCAGGACAGCUAUACUGCGGUGAAUACGUUCCCGGGCCUUGUACACACCGCUACAGU
rnacentral:rRNA from 1 species